rnacentral:lncRNA from 1 species
AACUCAUGUUUGAAGCACACAUAUAGUGGAAUACCAAUGUGCCGAGAUAAGGAUCUUUUCUGAAUCUUGCAAUUUUGGUGGCAUACCCUGCAACAGCAUGUUUGUUAUUAUGACUGUUUUUACUUCUGGUUAGAAGACAACCCAGCUGAGGGAUAGAGUUUCAGAGACAUGAAGAGUGUGAAGUGAUCUACCAUGUAUGCACCAGAUCUGCUUUAAGAUGAAAGUCAAUCAUCUGGAUGAUAAAGCAUCAGGAAGUUUAUCUCAUCAUGUGGAGUUAUGCUGUUGGUUGCUGUGAAUUCCAUUUUUACGGUUUCUUCUUUCUUCCUGUUCUUAUCAUGAACAUUUCAGUGUGUUUCUUAGAAAAGAGCACGCAGCUUCUUUAGGAAUCGUGCUGUCCUAGCACGAAGAUUCUUGUGCAAAUGCUGACCUUUGUCCAUGACGGAAGAGGGACUUCCACCAACAUCC